UACGUAGGGUGCAAGCGUUGUCCGGAAUUAUUGGGCGUAAAGAGCUCGUAGGCGGUUUGUCGCGUCGAAUGUGAAAACCCGGAGCUCAACCCCGGGCCUGCAUUCGAUACGGGCAGACUAGAGUUCGGUAGGGGAGUCUGGAAUUCCUGGUGUAGCGGUGAAAUGCGCAGAUAUCAGGAGGAACACCGGUGGCGAAGGCGGGACUCUGGGCCGAUACUGACGCUGAGGAGCGAAAGCGUGGGGAGCAAACAGG
rnacentral:rRNA from 1 species